rnacentral:rRNA from 1 species
CCCUGUUGAGCUUGACUCUAGUCUGGCAUUGUAAGGAGACAUGAGAGGUGUAGCAUAAGUGGGAGGUCGCGUCUCGUGCGCGGUCGUCACUGAAAAACCACUACUUUCAUUGUUUCAUUACUUACUCGGUUGGGCGGAAGCGGUGCGCGGUCGAUUAUAUCGGCGGGCGCACGGUGUUUCGUUCCAAGCGUGCAGAGUGUCGGUGUGGCGGCAACGCUCACCGGCGUACGACUCCCGCGUGAUCCGGUUCGAGGACACUGCCAGGCGGGGAGUUUGACUGGGGCGGUACAUCUGUCAAAGAAUAACGCAGGUGUCCUAAGGCCAGCUCAGCGAGGACAGAAACCUCGCGUGGAGCAAAAGGGCAAAAGCUGGCUUGAUCCAGAUGUUCAGUACGCAUAGGGACUGCGAAAGCACGGCCUAUCGAUCCUUUAGUAUAAAGAGUUUUUAGCAAGAGGUGCCAGAAAAGUUACCACAGGGAUAACUGGCUUGUGGCAGCCAAGCGUUCAUAGCGACGUUGCUUUUUGAUCCUUCGAUGUCGGCUCUU